rnacentral:lncRNA from 1 species
AAGGACAAAUACUGCUCUAUCAUCUAUUAUUCUUACUGUUCUAGUGCAUCAGGAAAUAUCAAGGGACAUGGAAUUUAUGAGCCAAGAACCAUGGAUCAAAAUCAAAACGCAUAAGCCAGAACAGCAGACAGUUGAUUCCGCAGCUGAUUGUAGCUUCUUUCUCAUGUGGUAGUUGUUGCAUCCAGUGCUACAGAUUUUUCUUUUGUCAAUUUAUCCUCAGUGAGACUUCCGAGGAUCCCACGAAGCCUGGCUUGACAGUGCUUUCUGUGACAGCGAUUUUACAUCGAUCAAUCUGGGGACCCAGUGGGAAUCAGUGGCAGAAUUACCAGCGCAAGGCAAUUCCCAAUCUCCUUGGCCUGAAGCUGUUGCUCCGUAGAGGAACCAUCGCCCGACAUCCGAGAGACCAUGGACUCCACUCUCAGUACCGAGGAAACAAACAACCCGAGCAGGCCAGCAAGCCAAUAACUAAAAGCAUGGCUUCCUUUCUUUCCCAAGGAAGGCUGUAGAGACCAGCAGUCCUAGUCCCCAAGGUGGCAACUUUCUUCUGGCAACAUAUCUGAAGGCUAAGAGAAUGAGGAGGAGGGGCUUUGCCUGGUGCUACGGACUGUGGUAUGGUGAAGAGAAGAACCAACGCCCCUCCCUCUGCUCACUGGAUUGCCAGUGGGACUGCCAUGUUUUAGCCUCCCAGGGUGCAAAAUCACUAAUCUCCGUGUACACUGAGGAGGCUUAAUUCAGAAGGGGCUUCACUGUAAGUGAUACCUGUGAGACAUCGAACCCGGCCAGACAAUCGAGAAGGGAAUUUCAGACUUUGGAGACUGGGUGGGAAGAUUAC